GAUGAACGCUGGCGGCGUGCCUAAUACAUGCAAGUCGAGCGAACGGACGAGAAGCUUGCUUCUCUGAUGUUAGCGGCGGACGGGUGAGUAACACGUGGAUAACCUACCUAUAAGACUGGGAUAACUUCGGGAAACCGGAGCUAAUACCGGAUGAUAUUUUGAACCGCAUGGUUCAAAAGUGAAAGACGGUCUUGCUGUCACUUAUAGAUGGAUCCGCGCUGCAUUAGCUAGUUGGUAAGGUAACGGCUUACCAAGGCAACGAUGCAUAGCCGACCUGAGAGGGUGAUCGGCCACACUGGAACUGAGACACGGUCCAGACUCCUACGGGAGGCAGCAGUAGGGAAUAUUCCGCAAUGGGCGAAAGCCUGACGGAGCCACGCCGCGUGAGUGAUGAAGGUCUUCGGAUCGUAAAACUCUGUUAUUAGGGAAGAACAUAUGUGUAAGUAACUGUGCACAUCUUGACGGUACCUAAUCAGAAAGCCACGGCUAACUCCGUG
rnacentral:rRNA from 1 species